GCUUUGGCGAUCAACGUUACAUUCAGAUUUGCAUGUUUCAACUCAUUAAGUUCAGACGUUCAAUCCAUCUGUUUUGGAUUUUAAGUUGUUAAAGUUAUUCUAGGUGCUUUUGCGAUCUUGCGCAGAGGAUUAAACCAGGAGAAUGGACUGUGAUCUACAGCAAGGACAUCAAAGGUCUCCCAAGACAGGAAGAUGGCAAUGCCUGUGGCAUCUUCAUGUUAAUGGGUGACAUGGACACAAUCAGGACAUGGUGGUGCCUGUUGCUCCUGUCUGGUCAUUCAGUUCUCAAGUUGGCACAGAAAAGGAAAUAUGAAGAUCAAUUCAUAAUAGCAGAUAAGGAUAAGGAGGAGGCAAAGAGGCCCAGGACAAUCUCCCC